rnacentral:lncRNA from 1 species
UUUAUUCAUUUCUGUUUAUCGUAAUUCCUGUUCAUAUUAAUUUAUAUUUCUAGAAUUGUUUUACAAAUACAAUUUAAUCACACUUUAUUCAUGAAUACAAUAGUUUAACUACAUCAAAUACAUCAUAUAUCCACAUAAAAUGUAUCUAUAACCCGUAAUAUAGCAAAUGGUAUCUAUAGAUGGUUAAUUACUACGAAAAAAAUAGUGCUUUAUGAAAAUUUCUCUUGAAUCAUUGGAAAGUGAACAAUCUUGUGCUAGUUUUGCAUAACCAAUUUGUGGUAAAAUGACUAUUAGCAAUGCAUAUGGGCAUGUAUUUGCU